CCAAGCAUUGUAACCAUAGUUAAAGAUCCUUAAAAAAUUUUAAGACCGUCCCAUUUCCCGUGGGAAAUAAUUUCAAUUUUGAAAUAAAAAAAAAUUGAUACAAGCAACCCUGAUUAGAUAAGUUAAAAUGGGAAUUCAAAAAAUAAAAAGACUUAGAUUUAAGUGCCGUGGUACACUGAGGGAAAAAUCCAAUGUAAAAUUUAAUAUAUAACAAUUUAAACAAGUUUUGAAAUUUUUAAUCAGACUUUAGUUGCAGUUUAUCACACUAAUUUUCCACAGUAAAAUGUUAUAUGAUUAAAACUUUGAACUAAUGUCGUUCUACUUUGAUUUUGAAAUAAUCGUCUUCAACGCAAAAUGAUUACGAAAAAUAGUUAAAAUAAAAUUGGUUUUCGUUGAUUUCAAGUUGUUUUUUCUCUCAGUGUAUUUCUUCGAAAAUUAGUUGGCUAUAAUUUUUUUCACAUAGAAUCGUUUUUCUAUUUCUUUCAACUUCAAUUUUCCGUCAAUUCAAACUUUGGAAAUUAAUUUUUUUUAAUCGAUAGAAAAAUAUGAAACGAACUUUCAUUGCCUAAAAAAAAAACAAUCCCUUCAAAAUGCGGAAACAAGAAAACAUAUAGGUACAUAUAGAGAGUUGUAGGUAUCAGAAAGCUUAUGUAGGAGGACAAAAAUUCAACUGUUGAAAUCAAAUGUCAAUUCUAGGCUGUUAGUCGCACUUGAAAAACUAUACUUGCCAUCCCAAGGAAUCAGUAAUUUCACUGCCCCCUAUAUCUAAUCGUGUAUUUGUUGAGCGAGCAAGGAAUCCAUAGAAAAUAUUAUAAAAAGAAGUGCUAGACAAACGCUUUCGACAACGAUUCCGUUGGAACCAAAAAUAACCACUCCAACACGUUCACACAAAAAAAUUGUGACGAAUCUAAAAUGUAUAUCUGAUAAGGAAAACCGCAAGCAUAACCACGCAGAAGCAAAUAAGGAAGGAACUAAAUAGAUCUGAAAACCUUAAGACAAACUCCUAAGUAGGCAAGCAUGUACAAAAUAUAAUAUUGUUGUUUAUCAACUUGAAAAAACUUAAACCAAAAUUUUGACCUUGGACUAAAAAAAAAACAAAAAUUCAAGGAUAUGGACCUGCUUUGUUAGCCUAUUAUUGAAGGUAAAGAAAUAACCUUCCUUAAAAGUAUACUUGCACAUUUGUUAACAUUAAUAAUAACACUGUGAUAGUUCAAAAAACCGACAGAGGGCUCUUAUGUCUACUAAAGAUAAUUCGAGUAUGCUGAACACGAUGGCGUUCUUAGUUUUUCUGGAUUAGGUCAAAUAAGAAAGAUUUUUGCGUUUGAAAUUUUGUUUGCACAUGCCAAAACUGAGGGUAUAAAACACCAUAUAUUUUCCAAUUUUUGAUUUUUAUCGAUAAAAAAAUGAUGGAAAAUCUAUUUUUUUGGAAGUAUUAUUCGUAAAAAUAGUUAUUUGAAAAAAAAUCUGUCAAAUAACUAUUUAAAUCAUUAUUUUUUGGCAAAAAAACGUCGAUUUUUCUUCAAUUUUUCUUACAUUUUUUAACUAUAAAGGUACAAAUGUAUGCGAAAACUCAACAAUUUUUUGUACACACCUUGUAUGUGUUAGUACUCUGGAAUAUUAUACAUAUGUAGAUGUAGGUAUUUAAUUAAAAAAUCAGGCAUGGUAUCAAUAUUUUUAUUUAAUUUUUGUUUAAGUUCAAAAAAUCAUUUUUCUUUCAAUUUGUUUUAAAAUUAAAACAUAUUUACUAUUACUUCCAUCUGCAUUAUAUGAGCUUACAUACACAACACAUAAUAUAUUUGUCACAGUCCCCGUUUAACUGAAGAAAAUAUUUAAAGAUCAGAAACGUGUUUCAGAUAAGCGGGUUUUUUUCUUAAGAGGGUUUCUCUUAAGCGGGUUUUUAUGCUACUUGAGCCCAUAGGCGUUUUGCCCCCACUUCCCCUACAUAUGUAUUGCAUUUAAACUUUUUGUAAUUUUUUUAUUUUAUAAACUUAAAAAUUAAAAAAAAAAAAACAGUGUUUUACUGCUACUUUUUCACUCUUAAGCUUAACCAA